GCCUUCCUACCAUCUGCCUCCACACGUAUGCCAACGCUAAAGUUUUUUGUUCCUUCCUUUAGGCACAUUAACUUGAAGAAGACCGGCUGUUUGUAAGGAAAGGAUGGCUUGGAUGAAAGAAUAUGGAAGGAAUUACGCUCACUUGCAGGAUGAGGAAAUGCAGGAGAGAAGCAUCUAAGGAGUCGUCCUGCGGCUGAGUGACAGGUGGUCAGAAUUACAGGGGUCAAGCAUCUAUCCUGCCUGGACCCCUCAUGGCCCAGUGUCCUGAUGAAUUAAUGUAAUCAGACCGCCAAGGAGUCUCCUGCUCUGAAGAGCUGGUGGAAUGAGUGCUCCUUCUGACUGAAAUGAAAACUGUCACUGUUGUCUUCUUCCCCACUGUAUGACGAAUGACUCCAACUCUGCGCUCUGAAACGUCCAGAAGUUGACUUCUGAUAUGAAAAUCGAGGUUUUAGAGUUUUAUUUCUGUCUUUGUCUCUUAAAAAAAUCUCUGCUAUAU
ensembl:lncRNA